GAGCCAGCCAAUGAAUCUGCUUAUCUGAAUGUGUUUCUGCAGAAAUUUAGACACAGCUGGCAAUGGUGAUAUCAUGUUACAAACCUUAAGGACAAUGGAGGUCAUUACAGUCCCUCAAAAUGGCUACAAUA
ensembl:snoRNA